rnacentral:rRNA from 1 species
UACAGAGGGGGCGAGCGUUGUUCGGAAUUACUGGGCGUAAAGGGCGCGUAGGCGGCCUUCUAAGUCGGACGUGAAAUCCCUCGGCUCAACCGAGGAACUGCGUCCGAUACUGGUUGGCUUGAAUUCGGGAGAGGGAUGCGGAAUUCCAGGUGUAGCGGUGAAAUGCGUAGAUAUCUGGAGGAACACCGGUGGCGAAGGCGGGUCUCUGGGCCGAUACUGACGCUGAGGAGCGAAAGCGUGGGGAGCGAACAGG